AACGCACCUUGCGCCUUUUGGUAUUCCGAAAGGCAUGCCUGUUUGAGUGUCAUGAAACCCUCAACCCUCACGGUUUUCUACUGUGGCGGCUUGGACUUGGACGUCUGCCUCUAGGCUCGUCUUAAAAUCAUUAGUGGGAUCUUUCCCCUGCCCUGGCGUAAUAAAUUUCGCCUUGUGCUUUGGAUGUACCCGCUCACAAUCAUCCAUCUUUUAAUUCUGACCUCAAAUCAGGUAGGGCUACCCGCUGAACUUAA
rnacentral:misc_RNA from 1 species